UACGUAGGGUGCAAGCGUUGUCCGGAAUUAUUGGGCGUAAAGAGCUCGUAGGCGGUCUGUCGCGUCUGCUGUGAAAUCUCAGGCUUAACCCUGAGCUUGCAGUGGGUACGGGCAGACUAGAGUGCGGUAGGGGAGACUGGAAUUCCAGGGUGAUAGCGGUGAAAUGACGUAGAUAUCUGGAGGAACACCAGUGGCGAAGGCGGCAUCCUGGACCGGCAUUGACGCUG
rnacentral:rRNA from 1 species